CGUGCCACUUACGCCAAAUAUCUAACAUGUUUGAUAAUUUCUGCCUCGCGUGCCAAAAUCUUUCCGUGUGCGGCGAACGAAAGCUAUCUGCUUACGGAUUGUUGUAACAGCGCAUGCGUAGUAUACGAAAGUAAACAUCCAAGAUGGCGGCACAAAAUAAAUUGCUAGCUGAGGCAAUUUUAGAAGACAAACUUGUCGUGAUAAUGCUGUUCCAAUAACUUGUCUACAAGAUAUGUUCUCAACGGGCUUGUAGCAAGCUUGUUAACAAGUUGUGUCAAUGCUGUUCCAAAAGCAAGCUUGUAGACAAGUUGUUGGAACAGCAUUAUCACGACAAGUUUGUCUUCUAAAAUUGCCUCAGCCAGCAAUUUAUUUUGCGCCGCCAACUACGCAUGCGCUGUUACGACAAUCCGUAAGCAGAUAGCUUUCGUUCGCCGCACACGGAAAGAUUUUGGCACGCGAGGCAGAAAUUAUCAAACAUGUUAGAUAUUUGGCGUAAGUGGCACGAAUGACAAAAGUCGUUCGUAAAUCGCCCGCACACGAGAGCUAUCUUCUUACGCCAACAGUCACGAAUGACAUUUUGCUAAGCACAUAGCUCUAGUGUGCGCCGGCCUUUAGCCAAUGACAAACCAUGGUUUCUUCAUGUGACUUGGAACAAAAUGGAGGAAAAUGCAAAUGAUUUUGUCAAUUAUGUUGUUGUUGAGUAGUUUUCCCAACGUGUGCGG